rnacentral:tRNA from 1 species
GGCCCCGUCGUCUAGCGGCCUAGGACACUGGGUUUUCAUCCCAAAAAUCGAGGGUUCGAAUCCCUCCGGGGUCA